UGGGGAAUCUUGCGCAAUGGCCGAAAGGCUGACGCAGCGACGCCGCGUGUGGGAUGAAGCAUUUCGGUGUGUAAACCACUGUUGCCCGGGACGAACAGCGCUUUUCGAGGCGCCUGACGGUACCGGGUGAGGAAGCACCGGCUAACUCCGUGCCAGCAGCCGCGGUAAUACGGAGGGUGCGAGCGUUGUCCGGAAUCACUGGGCGUAAAGGGCGCGUAGGUGGCGCGGGCAGUCAACGGUGAAAGUUCGGGGCUCAACCCUGAAUCGGCCGUCGAUACUCCCGUGCUUGAGCACUGUAGAGGCAGAUGGAAUUCCGGGUGUAGCGGUGGAAUGCGUAGAGAUCCGGAAGAACACCGGUGGCGAAGGCGGUCUGCUGGGCAGUUGCUGACACUGAGGCGCGACAGCGUGGGGAGCAAACA
rnacentral:rRNA from 1 species